rnacentral:rRNA from 1 species
AGAACGAACGCUGGCGGCAGGCCUAACACAUGCAAGUCGAACGCCUCGCAAGAGGAGUGGCAGACGGGUGAGUAACACGUGGGAACGUACCCUUCGGUUCGGAAUAACUCAGGGAAACUUGUGCUAAUACCGGAUACGAUCGCGAGAUGAAAGAUUUAUCGCCGAAGGAUCGGCCCGCGUCUGAUUAGCUAGUUGGUGAGGUAAUGGCUCACCAAGGCGACGAUCAGUAGCUGGUCUGAGAGGAUGACCAGCCACAUUGGGACUGAGACACGGCCCAAACUCCUACGGGAGGCAGCAGUGGGGAAUAUUGGACAAUGGGCGCAAGCCUGAUCCAGCCAUGCCGCGUGAGUGAUGAAGGCCUUAGGGUUGUAAAGCUCUUUUACUCGGGAAGAUAGUGACGGUACCGAGAGAAUAAGCCCGGCUAACUUCGCGCCAGCAGCCGC